rnacentral:rRNA from 1 species
GACAGAGGGGGCAAGCGUUGCUCGGAAUUACUGGGCGUAAAGGGCGCGUAGGCGGGCUGGCAAGUCGGUCGUGAAAUCCCUCGGCUCAACUGAGGAUCGUCGAUCGAUACUGCCGUUCUUGAGGAUUGCAGAGGAGACUGGAAUUCCCGGUGUAGCGGUGAAAUGUGUAGAGAUCGGGAGGAACACCGGUGGCGAAGGCGGGUCUCUGGGCAAUUCCUGACGCUGAGGCGCGAAAGCGAGGGGAGCAAACGGG